rnacentral:rRNA from 1 species
AAAACAUCACUAAUAGAACCAAAAUUAUUAGCAACUCCUGCCCAAUGUGUAUUUAUAAUCAAUGGCCGCAUAAUAUGUGCUAAGGUAGCAUAAUCAAUUGCCUGUUAAUUAUAGGAUAGAAUGAAAGGACCAACGUAUAAAUACUUUAUUUAAACCAUCUUUAAAAAUUUCUAAAGUGGUCAAAAAGCUGCUACAAAGAAAAAAGACAAAAAGACCCUAAAAACUUUAAUUAAAUCAGUCUCAACUUAUCUUAUUACUUUAACACGAAAAACUUUUUGUUGGGGCAACUAAGGAAAAUAUUUAACCAUCCUUUAUAUUUUAAUUUACAUAAGCUACCAAGUUACUUUAGGGAUAACAGACUAAUAUUCUUCCAGAGACCAAAUUUAAAAGAAUGGUUGGCACCUCGAUGUUGGCUUAAAGAAAAUAUUAAAAGCAAAGUUUUAAAUAUUASGUUUGUUCACCCUUUWAUCSUUUACGUGA